AUAAGAAAUCUUAAUAAUUCAAAGUUUAUGCCCAGAAGCAAGAAGGCUGUCAGCAGCAAGUUAACAGACAAGAUGAAAUAACCUGAUAUGGUCCUGAAGUCGACUAACCGCUUGAACCAAAGGGGCAACAACACAAAAGUAAAUGGAAAGAUUGCAGUCUGGAAAAUGAAAGCCAAACAAUGGUUACUUGGUUUAGGCAUCCCACAGAUAUUUUUUUGAGAUUUCAAAAAAUGUUCUCUUUCUGCAUCUGGCUGAAACUGUGAACUUGAAUUUCAGAGCUGGGACUUGGAUUUAUGCCACCUACUUACCAGGUGAGUGCCUGACCCAUCAGUUUGCUCAGUACCACUAUUUAUCAGCUGUAGCUUGAGGGAUAAGAGGGGAGCUGGCCCUCUUCCCAUAUCUCAUCCACUGCACCAAAUGUUCUCAUGAAAAUUACGUGGGUGAAGUUGGACAAAAAACUAGGCAUCAGACUUCAUAGAAUCAUAGAGUGUAAGGCUGG
rnacentral:lncRNA from 1 species